ensembl:lncRNA LINC03076 long intergenic non-protein coding RNA 3076
UACUCCAGUCCUCUCCACCCCAAGGUAGGCAGCUUCCCGCUCCUCGUCUUGGGACCUAAACCCAGGAAGUCAAAUGUCCUUUUCUAGCAGGUCGCCUGGUUAGAGGCCGUGGACGAAGCGGUCCAGGCACAGCCAGCUGCAGGGCGCGGCCUCGGCGGCGCUGCUCGUGGCCCUGGUCAGUGAGCGCACUCACUCCUGGACUAAGCUCUAUGCAACUCAUUUUCAUCUAGCAUUACCUCUCCAAAACCUGAAUCUCCACAAGAAAGCCACACAGCAAUUAACCAGUGUUGCAAGAACUGCUUCUGUAAUAAAGGUGGGAAGACAAAUUGAUGCAACCCUCUUGAAAAGCAAUCUGGCAAUAUGAACCAAGAGCCAUGAAAAGGCUUAUGCUAUUAUAAUUAAAUGGCUGUAAUGUUGGCUGUAAAUAUGAAAUUUUCUUUCACACACCAAUGUUUUCAAGAAUGGCAUAUUCACAUGCAGUAUGUGUUUCCCCUUGGAAAUAAAAUGUAAAGGAAAACUAUGGAAAAAUAUACUUACUCUAGACAUUCUCUGCAUUGAUUUAUGACAGAUGAAAGAAGCAGUAAAGGAUGCUAACAAAGCUAUUUCUUUGGACAAUCUGAACCUGACGGAGUCUUACUCUGUCGCCCAGGCAGGAGUGCAAUGGCACAAUCUUGGCUCACCACAACCUCCGCCUCCUGGGUUCAAGUGACUCUCCUGCCUGGCCAUAGAAGCAAACACAAACAUAGAGGAAUUGGCUUUGGGCAGAUGGAAGGACCUCAGAGAAAAGAAACAAAGGAAAGAAAACUGGAUGGAUAAAGGUUUGUAGAAAUACUAUUCACAGGAAGCAAAUAGGAAUUCCUUAUCGCUAAACAGACACUAAGUCAAUUGGUAAAGAUCUUGCCAGCUGGUGCCUGGGUGCAUAGACUGCCUAUGGCUCUUGAAUUGCAUGCUGAAAACUUCAUAAUGAAACCAGAAAAUCACAGAAGCAUAAACACAGCUGCUUAUGCCUAUAAAUUAUUGCUGGUGAAAAGGAUGUUUAAGCAGAGUGAGAGACUCUCAGCAAAAAAAGGUAACUGAAAGAGUGGUAAGUCAGACAAAGAAGAAAAAUGCCAAAGAAGAGGGUCAAGAACAACUCAUAUGACUCCGAAAUCCCUUACCCACAUUGGAGUUAUAAAAAGUUCAGGAGCUGGAGACAAAAGGCAGGUUCAUAAAGAGGAUUCCUUGGAGAGAGUUGUUAUAAUGCUAUGAGAAAAUUGAAGCCAACAGAAGUUAACUAACUUGCCUAAAAUAACACAGCUGUGGCAAAUUAGGACCAGAACCAAGGUCUCCUGACCUAAGUGCUACUCCCACCAUACUACAUGAUCUGCUGUUUAAAAUUUUGGUGAGCUUUAUAACAUAAAUAAAACUACAGAUGUGAAGGAC